ACGGCUACCACAUCUAAGGAAGGCAGCAGGCGCGCAAAUUACCCAAUUCUAACAGCAUAAGAGAGGUAGUGACAAGAAAUAACAAUACAAGGUAAUUAAAUUGCUUUGUAAUUGGAAUGAUAGAAAUUUAAACACUUUUUAAAGUAUCAAUUGGAGGGCAAGUCUGGUGCCAGCAGCCGCGGUAAUUCCAGCUCCAAUAGCGUAUAUUAAAAUUGUUGCAGUUAAAAAGCUCGUAGUUGAAUUUCUGUUAAAAAUAACCGGUCUGCUUUUAUUAAAAGUGGUAUCUUGGUGUGUUUUUAGCAAUAAUGUCCUUUGAAAUGUUUUUUACUUUAUUGUAAUAAGUCAUUAUUUUGAGGAUUUUUACUUUGAGAAAAUUAGAGUGUUUCUAGCAGGCUUACGCUUUUGAAUACUGCAGCAUGGAAUAAUAAGAUAGGAUUUUAGUUCUACAUUAUUGGUUUUAAGAACUAAAUUAAUGAUUGAUAGGGAUAGUUGGGGG
rnacentral:rRNA from 1 species